rnacentral:rRNA from 1 species
AUGAACGCUGGCGGCGUGCCUAAUACAUGCAAGUCGAGCGAACGGACGAGAAGCUUGCUCCUCUGAUGUUAGCGGCGGACGGGUGAGUAACACGUGGAUAACCUACCUAUAAGACUGGGAUAACUUCGGGAAACCGGAGCUAAUACCGGAUAAUAUUUUGAACCGCAUGGUUCAAAAGUGAAAGACGGUCUUGCUGUCACUUAUAGAUGGAUCCGCGCUGCAUUAGCUAGUUGGUAAGGUAACGGCUUACCAAGGCAACGAUGCAUAGCCGACCUGAGAGGGUGAUCGGCCACACUGGAACUGAGACACGGUCCAGACUCCUACGGGAGGCAGCAGUAGGGAAUCUUCCGCAAUGGGCGAAAGCCUGACGGAGCAACGCCGCGUGAGUGAUGAAGGUCUUCGGAUCGUAAAACUCUGUUAUUAGGGAAGAACAUAUGUGUAAGUAACUGUGCACAUCUUGACGGUACCUAAUCAGAAAGCCACGGCUAACUACGUG